UUCACUUUCAUUUAUUGUCCCUUACUGAGAAUAAACUAUUCUGUGUCCCUCCUCCCCGGUUUUAAAGACAUGGUUAUAAAUUUAUAAUUCUUUCUAGAACAGAAGACACUAUUUGCAGCAAUGGAUCGAUUUUAGUUUUCUUCCCCAAUUCAUUCUUGACUAUUAUUUUUGUAAAAUAAAAGAAUGAAUCACUGGGUACAAAAUAUUAAAAGGGCAUAAAAAGCACAAAAUCAAGCAAGCAGAGACAAAGGGAUACAAAGUGUGCCCAUAAUUUUUAUAUGGGAGUGAGCAUGAGGUCACUUCCGAACUGCUAUGCAAUGUCCUGAGAGCUCAGCCUCAAAGUCUUUUCCUCUCCAGCAGAAGAAAAACAAAGCUACAGAGAUCAGUCCUGUCCAUGGAUCACAACAGACGAUGACUCUCUCAAGAGGUUCUUCUUCAAACAGUCCUACAAUCCACAGCAGCCACCUCCACCAACCUCCAAACCCAUCAAAGACAACGGAGAGCUAUGGACACGUUCUUAGAGGUCAACUCUUUUUAAAAAUUAAACUUUUUUCUUCAUAUCACAUUUUCCAUAUAGCUUCACUCAUCUUGUGCUUGUAAUUUCUUUAGGAGAGAUUGCCCUCCAACUUUUGACAUCCAAACCCUUUACUUAGGUCCUUUAUUUCAUCUCAGAUCACUCCUCAAAUGAUCACAAUGGCCAGGCCAAAGCCAUGAGCCUGGAGCUCCAUCCAGUUGUGCCACAUGGGUUACAGGGGCUAAAUAACUUGGGCCAUAUGCAGCUGCUUUCCCAGGCAUAUUAUCAGGGUGUUGGGUUAGAGUUGGAAUUGCCAGGAAUCCAACUGGGCCCAGAUGGGGUGCCAGCACUGCAAGUGUCUGCUUAACCUCUGACCUACAACAUUGUCCCCUUUCUAAAUUACCAUUCUCUUUUCCUGAUCCU
rnacentral:lncRNA from 1 species